AUGCAAGUCGAACGGUAACAGGAAGCAGCUUGCUGCUUCGCUGACGAGUGGCGGACGGGUGAGUAAUGUCUGGGGAUCUGCCUGAUGGAGGGGGAUAACUACUGGAAACGGUAGCUAAUACCGCAUAACGUCGCAAGACCAAAGAGGGGGACCUUCGGGCCUCUUGCCAUCAGAUGAACCCAGAUGGGAUUAGCUAGUAGGUGGGGUAACGGCUCACCUAGGCGACGAUCCCUAGCUGGUCUGAGAGGAUGACCAGCCACACCGGAACUGAGACACGGUCCAGACUCCUACGGGAGGCAGCAGUGGGGAAUAUUGCACAAUGGGCGCAAGCCUGAUGCAGCCAUGCCGCGUGUAUGAAGAAGGCCUUCGGGUUGUAAAGUACUUUCAGCGAGGAGGAAGGUGGUGAGUUUAAUACACUCAUCAAUUGACGUUACUCGCAGAAGAAGCACCGGCCAACUCCGUGCCAGCAGCCGCGAUAAUACGGAGGGUGCAAGCGUUAAUCGGAAUUACUGGGCGUAAAGCGCACGCAGGCGGUCUGUCAAGUCGGAUGUGAAAUCCCCGGGCUCAACCUGGGAACUGCAUCCGAAACUGGCAGGCUUGAGUC
rnacentral:rRNA from 1 species